rnacentral:rRNA from 1 species
CAGGGAAUCUUGCGCAAUGGGCGAAAGCCUGACGCAGCGACACCGCGUGGGGGAAGAAGGCUUUCGGGUUGUAAACCCCUUUUCUCGGGGAAGAGAGAGGACGUUACCCAAGGAAUAAGCAUCGGCUAACUACGUGCCAGCAGCCGCGGUAAUACGUAGGAUGCGAGCGUUGUCCGGAUUUACUGGGCGUAAAGGGCGAGUAGGCGGAUUGUUAAGUCUCAUGUGAAAUCUCCCGGCUUAACUGGGAGGGGUCAUGGGAAACUAGCAAACUUGAGGGCAGCAGAGGAAAGUGGAAUUCCCGGAGUAGCGGUGAUAUGCGUAGAUACCGGGAGGAACACCCGAGGCGAAGGCGACUUUCUGGGCUGUACCUGACGCUGAGGCGCGAAAGCAUGGGGAGCGAACCGG